rnacentral:rRNA from 1 species
AACGGAGGGGACGAGCGUUAUUCAUCCUAAUUGGGCGUAAAGGGUAUGUAGGUGAUGGAAUAGGUUUUUUCAAAAAGUUCAAGUUUAUGUCUUGAAGUUAGGAUUAACUGUGUUAAAUUUGAGAUUAAUGAGGUUAGCGGAAUUACUAAAGUAGAGGUAAAAUAUUACGAUCGUAGUACGAACACCAAAUGCGAAAGCGGCUUUCUCCGUAAUCUGACACUGAGAUACGAAAGCAUGGGGAUCAAACAGG